UCGAUUCAGAUCGGGAUACUCAUCAAUAUCUUCUCACACCGAGCCGGUUGCCUUUUUCAAUGGCGAGCCGUUGCAUAGCAAGACGGAUUACAAAGAUGAGGUGACACUCAAAACUUUACUACUCGGAGUUAUCAUCACAUCAUCGACACGGCUUUCUU
rnacentral:sRNA from 1 species